rnacentral:rRNA from 1 species
CCUUCAUGAAGCCGGAAUUGCUAGUAAUGGCAGGUCAGCAUACUGCCGUGAAUACGUUCCCGGGCCUUGUACACACCGCCCGUCACACCAUGAGAGUUGGGGAUACCCGAAGCCUGUGAGCUAACUUUUAGAGGCAGCAGUCGAAGGUAGAAUCAAUGAUUGGGGUGAAGUCGUAACAAGGUAAC